rnacentral:hammerhead_ribozyme from 1 species
AUCCAGCCGACGAGUCCCGAAUAGGACGAAACCGAUGUCAUGGAU